ACUGGGAACGAUACAAAGAGGAUUACUAAUGGCUGCUGGGGCAGAUGAAAUCACGCUAGUCUUGUUACUUAAACUAAGUAGGCUACAAUAAAACUUUUGUGAGUAAAGAUUUAAUACUUAUCAAUGAACCCACCUGUAUAGACAGGCAUAAGCAUGUAAAAAGGGAUAUUUCAAUCUACUCGGUCCACUCUUGUCCACCGCUCUGUUUUAGCAAACACA